CACGGGUGAGUAACACGUAUCCAACCUGCCGUCUACUCUUGGCCAGCCUUCUGAAAGGAAGAUUAAUCCAGGAUGGCAUCAUGAGUUCACAUGUCCGCAUGAUUAAAGGUAUUUUCCGGUAGACGAUGGGGAUGCGUUCCAUUAGAUAGUAGGCGGGGUAACGGCCCACCUAGUCAACGAUGGAUAGGGGUUCUGAGAGGAAGGUCCCCCACAUUGGAACUGAGACACGGUCCAA
rnacentral:rRNA from 1 species